AUGACACAAAAUUUGUCGAUCAAGUCUUUGAGCGACUGCAGGUUGGAAACGCUGUUGAAAACGUGGACACAUUCUUUACCAAACUUACAGAGAAGGAGAAGGUUCCACAGUUUCAAGUUGACGUGAGAGAUCGCAUCAUGAACAAGACCUACGUCAUCAUCGGUCCCGUUUUGUCAGAGUUCCCUGAAAAGGAUCUUUUUGACUGGUUCCAUGUCAAACUGGUCCCGGUUCUCCCAAGUUUCACUCCACAAAUGCUCCAAGGUGUAAUUACCAACAUCAACUGCACAAAAUACCAUGUCAUUGUGAGUGGGAUGGGCAAAGUUGUGUCUGCCAUAGCUCAGA